rnacentral:lncRNA from 1 species
AUGCCACAUCAUCUCAACAGUAAUAAGGUAUGAAUGCAUCAACAUAAUCAUAUCAGGUGCAAGAAAGUAAUCAACCGUAGGCCCUCUAAUAGCCCUAUACGGUUGAACCUAGAGCUCAAAAUCUAUCAUUAUCACUCUACCGAAGUCACCUCUGUGACCCGUCCGGCCUUCUGCACACAAGUUACGCUCUAGUGCUUCUCAUAAAUCAUCUGUGCACAUAAUCUAAGGUCACCCACCAGUCGGAAUCUCACUAACACUCUCGCGACUGGUCUGUCGUACCCACUCCGCGUGGACUGUACGACUAGCAUCUACUUGGAUCCAAGGCGAGCGUGCGAUGCGGUGAAUACUAUAAGCACUAAACCAUGGUGCAGGAUUUGAGGAUUUGAGCUCAAUAUAUAUCAUCAUCAUCAUAACAGUAAUUAAAUACUCAUCUGUGCGUCCACCGCACCAUUUCAUACAUAUGCAUCAUAAAUCAAUUCUUACCUGUGCGUCCCACCGCACCAAUUCAUACAUAUGCAUCAUAUAUUAAUUCAUGCAUGGCAUUUCAACUCACAUUUCUAUAUACUUUUCAUAUCAAUUCUAUGCAUGGUAUUUCACUUCCCGUUUUUCCACAUAACUCAUAUGCAUUUCAUUUUAAACAUAAUUUCAUGCAUUUUCAAUUUCUGGGAAAACGUUAAGUAUAUAUAUAUAUAUAUAUACGGAAAACAAAACUGCCCACUCACCUGGAGUUCGUCCAACAACUCUCCUAGCACCACACAUCAAGGCGUCACGACGAUCGCCGCCUAGAAUAGUAAUCAAAUCCAACCUCAGAAUUCAUAUCGAUAGAAUAUAUAACUUAUAUAAAAAUACGUCACUACGUAGUUCGAUCCGGAAGAUCUGCCACUCAGAUUUUAAAUCCAUAACUUCCAGAGGUCCACAAUAUAUCUCUAGGAUAACAUCCUAAAAUUUCAUUACCAUCCAACGGUCGGAUCUCCGUCAAUUUCCAAAACUAAGUGACGGUUAACAUUUUAUAUUAUGGACUUACAAUUCCAAUUCCGGAAGAUCCGUAACUCGGAUUCCCAAUCCGUAAGUUCCAAAAUCCUCAAAUAUUACGUAUUACAACGUAUCAAAGUUUGGUGACGAUCCAACGGUCGGAUCAUCAAUUCACAUUUUCACCUAAAUGUGAAAACUAUAAAACGUUAUUUGAACACCUAACCAACAAUCUUCAAUAACUUUCUCAUACGGUGUUCAAUUUAGGUAUAUGAAUAUACCACAGUGAUCUACUCGACGUCACGGACGUCGACAUAUUUUUAAAAUAAUUUUAUUUUUAUUUUUUAUUUUUACUGUAGCACCUUCUUCUUCCUUGGGUCGCCGGACUGGUUUUUCCGGCGGCCGUUUUUCUGGGCAGUUUUUCAAAUUGCCAUAACUUUGUCAUUUCUCAACGAAAUCAAGUGAUUUCAAAAACUAAAGUUGUAGCCCUUGAAGAUACAAAGAGAAUGGUACCUUGCACAACACCUAGUUCGCCGUGGUUUGGCCGGAAACUUCCUCGAAAGCCUCGGAGGUCGCCGGAAACUGGGUAUUUUUUCAAAUGAGUAUAACUUCUUCAAUACUCAACGAAAUUGAGUGAAACAAAAAGGAAAGUUGUAGUACUUGACGAGACGAAGAGAUUGAUACCUAUCUCGACUCCUAACUCGCCGGGGAUUCGCCGGAAAACGCAUCGAAAGCUCCGGCCAAACUUUGAACUUGUCGAUCUCCGUGUUCUUACGUCCAAAAACUUCCAACGAAGCACUCCGAGCUUCCUUGGGACCUCACUAAAGCUCGCUGUGAUCUUGUUUUAGCCUAAAUCGUAACCAUUUAAAAAGAUCAUGAACAGUAUAUAAAACACGGGACCUUAAAAACUAGGGUUUUCCGAAGCAAAACUUACCUGAAAAUGGUGUCUACGUGAUCGUGGAGUCCUCAGGGUUGCAAUGGUAGUCUUAACUUGGACGUUGGUAUAGGUUUUAGGUGGUUUUGGUGGUUGCCCGUGCGUUCGAGAAGAAGAGAGAGAGUGAGAGUUUCUGAGGAAGAGCUGAGGAAGAGAGAGAGAGAGUGACUGAGGAGAUGAGAGAGAGACAACAAACGGGAAAUGGGGAGGGAUUUAGGGUGUAGGACCCUACCUAAAGUCCAAACACAAAAUUAUUAGUCCAAGUUUAAGUUUAAUUAACAAUAACUUAGGAAUUUUAGGUAAAACCAAUACCAAAAUUACGCACCUUAAUCCCGUUUAAGGGCAUUUUCGUCUUUUCACGUCCUCGGAAUUAAAAUUCCAGGACGGGCUGUGACAAUCUUCCCUCCUUAUAGAAUUUCGUCCCCGAAAUUCCAGCAAUCAACUAAAUCAACCAUACUCCAACAAUAGCUUCGGGUAAAUCUCUCUCAUCCGUUUCUCUUUCUCCCACAUAAUUUUCUACUGAAUGAUUUCCUUCACAAAGCUUUUACCACUUACUCUGUCUUAAUUCUCAGGACCUUCUUUUCCCAAUCCAAAGUAGUCCUUGGUUCCUUAUCAAGUCGAAUCCAAUUGAAUUCUAAAUAGUUGCACCAGAAUCCCAUGUGACGAAUCUGCCACCUAGUGACAACGCAUCGAAAUAUAAUGCAUUAUGCACCUUAGCCAAUUUUGAAGGCAUCACAAACUUAUAUGCAACUUCAUUGAUUCUUUUAAUGAUCAAAACGGUCUGAUGUGUUUAAGACUUAUCUUGUCUCCUUUCCAAUUCUCGCCAUUUCUGUUCGUGGUGAAUUUUCCAAAAUAUCGAAUCAUGAAACACAUCAUGCACUUACGACAACUCUGGAAGCCAUUCAAAUUUGUAAGCAACUUCACCAACCUCUCGAUGAUCACUUAAAGUCCGAUGUACUUAGGAUUUAACUUGCCUUCCUUUCCAGACCGAAUCAUACUUUCCUAAGGUGAAAACUUCGAAAAUAUAAAAUCAUCUGUCUUAUACACUUGAUUAGUGGCAUAUCCAUCUGUUAAUCUCUUUUGCCAUUCCUGGCUACUUUCAGGUUAACUUACUCACCUGAAUAUUUUGAGGAGACUCAUCCAUAGUCUCAGGGUCUACUAAAACUCUUUCGUGAUCGAAUCUUCCUCUACCCAGAAGCAUUAGGCACAUACUUUUCGUUUGCUUGUAUUCACAUAUCAUUUGAUUCACGAAUCAUGUACUCAUUAUUUUUCCCUUCUUUCUCUACCCUGGGUUAAUUCUUAAAUUUCCUCGUCAAACAUUUAAGUUUUGAGUACGACCUUACCAAACAGGCCUAACUUGAAAUUUAACAAGUAUAACUUCUUCUCGAUCUUCCAUUCUUAAUUUUUCUUCCGUUGGUUUUCAAUCCACAAGAUGAUACUCUUGGCAAACGUGCCAGACAUUAAUCUUACUGUAGUCUUCUCACCAAGUGCUUCAGCUAGAACAAACUUUACGAUCACCCUAACAUUUGCAUCAACAUGCCUCCAAUACCAUUCAAGAAACAUCACUAAAAAUUUAUGAUUACCACUAUUCUCUGGGAAUACCAAAAUACGUGCAUGAGUGAGGAAAUACUUCAGUUGUUAAAUCCUUUGCUUACAAUUCCUUCCCACUCAUACCUAACCUCUUUUCUCAACAGUCUCGUCAAUGACAAAGCAACGACUGAAAAAUCUUUCACAACCAUCCAAGAUAGCCUGGUAAGCUAAGAAAUUCCAAAUCUCAAUUACGACUCGUGGUUGUUCCAAAUUUUAAUUUCUGUUACCUUUUAAGGAUUCACUUGAAUACCUUAAGAAUAUAUAACAUAUCCCAGAAAUGCUGCUUGAUUCAUCCAACAUUCGCAUUUGCUAAACUUAGCAUACAAUCGACAUUCUUCCAAUCUUUGUUCUACCGACUUAAUACGUUUACAUGCUCUGCUCUGGCUCAGAAUAUGCCAGAAUAUCUUCAAUGAAAAUGAUAUCAAUUAUCAAGGCAUUAUUGGAAUACUUCAUCCAUCAACUCAUAAAACCGCAUGAGUAUCCACAUAGCAUCACCAAACUUUAUAAGGACCAUAACAAGUCCAGAAACCAUCUUAUGAUCAACGUCACUUAUAAUAUUCAAUUGGUAGUAACCAGAUCUCAAUUCAAUCUUUGAAUCUUCGCAAUUACUUCUGAGCUGGUUAAAUAAACAUCAGUACAUCACCAUGGAUAACGGUUCUCAAUCGUUACCCGACUCCAUUGUCUAUAAUCAAUGAACAGUCUCAAGAUCCAUUUUCUUCCUCACCAACAAACUGGGCUCCUCAAAAGUGUUGUACUAGGUUGAAUAAAACUUUUAUCAACCAAUUCCCUCAACUGAAUUUCCAAUUCCCUUAACUCAUCAUGAACCAAUCUCCAAUAUAAAUUUAUACCUGGCAACAAAUCAAUAGUGAACCUCAUAUCUCUGCCUGAAGGCAAUCCAAGUAUACUUUCAGGGAAGACAUCAAGAAAAGUCUAACUCUUUCGACAUUAUUCACACUACUCCAAACAACAUCAUUUAGCACCACAUGAGCUAAGUAUUUUUGACAGCCUUUCGAAAACAAUCUCUUUGCUCUCACAGCAUAAAUAAUGGCUGAACUCAAUCCACUUUGCAUACUUACAAAAGUAAUCUCUGGUCAUCCAGAUCGAUGGAAAGUACUGGUUUCCCUUAACAUUCCGUCUUGUCACAAUUAUAACCAACCAAUCUAAUGGAAAUAAUUUAACCGACACAAUACAUACUCUAUUACUACUAAGCAUUCUGAAUAAGUACAAAAUAAUCUACCGGUUUACUUACUUAACGAAUCCACGAAUGAGUUAUUAAUAUUACGGUCUGCAGCCCGCAAUACUGAUAAAUCAUCGUUGUCUCGAUAAGUAGGCAACCACUCACAAAGAUAUAACAUUACUAUUUUGUCACUCAAUGCAAAAUACAUACACUCGUCUCAACUACAUUUAUUUACUACUCUCUAGGUAAUAACAUACAUAAUAAGAAAUAUAUCAGCCGAAGUCAACUAGAAUGACCAAUACGGUUGAUUCAACUCUUAUCUCAAUAAUACGUCGGCCGGAUCCACUCCGCGUGGUCGGUACGGCCGAGCCUAUAACUCACAAAUUUCGCAUGUGUCAAUCGAAUCCACUUCUCGUGGCCUGUACGGCUGAACAUAUAACUCAUCAAAUCUCUCUGUACUCACAGUCAAUCCGACCAAACUACUAAGUUUAUAACUCUUCUGAAUUGACACUAUGAUAUCAUGGAAAAUUAUUGAGUACAACUGAUUCUAGGGACGAUUCACAAUUCUGUGUCCCCUCUGUUCACAUAAACACAUUCAUUAAUUUCACACUUCCCAAAGUGUUAAUUUUUGUACCUGCAGCACAAGGUACAUUUCCUUUACUCGAGACACCUUGUCUCAAAUAUCUAGGAUUACCAGUAUAUCCAUCACUUUUAUUCUGACCAGCGACAUUAAAACCUCAGCUAGAAGAAUUAACUCUAGCUUCACUUCUUUCGAAGCUCUAAAUCUUUCUAUAUCCUUGAUAUGACGAAUCAUUAACUUUAUCGUCUUCUUUUAAUUCCCAUUCAUUUCUUAUUCUUCUUUAUUCUCGUUGCUCAUGUUCUCAGAGUCCUCAAGAUUCAACAACAUCUAGCAUACUCCUGAUAAGAACUACAAUGGAUAGUGGUCACCCAAAAUACCACUUCCCUUUUGUCACCCAGCUUAAAACAACAUAACACCUCCACCAAAUUAACAACAAUAUCUGGAUGGAACGAGGCUAGUCUGAAAACUUUCUAUAAUAUCCCUCGAUCAUCACCUUCCUUGUCUCAUAUUUGUAAACUCUUGUUUACUACCAUCGAUAAAUGCCGGAGGGAUAAACUUUUCCUUUAAACAAGUCCUUAAACAAUUCUCAAUCGACUGAUUCCUCUGGUGACAACAAUUCAUACUCCUGUUUCCACCAGGAUACAAAUUCAUAACCAAAACCAGGUAGUCGUCUCGACCCCUUGUCAGAAGGAAGAUUCCUUUGACUUGCAUAUUCCGAAACAUCUUUUCCAAUUGGUUAAUCCGUCACUUUGUUCCCUCAGGUUCAUCAUUUCUCUUAAGUGAUUCAAAUUCAACUCAUAACCCGUCUUAAAAUGUCCAUUUUUCUAAUAUACUGAAUCACCAUAAGAAUAGUUUCCCCUAACCCGCUAAAUCAGGGAGACUAAGUUCCUCUAACUACGUGGUUUGCUACGAGGCGGUGUAGUUCUGACAGAAUUCACUAGAAACUUCUCAAGAUGUCCAAGAUUGCAACCAUGCUCUGAUACCAACUGACAAACCCCAUCCCGAAGGAGGGCAUGCUGGCCGUCACGUGAGAGUGACGUAACCAUUUGCACAGUACGGAAGCUUUAAGAUACAAUUUAAAUUGAUACACCCGAAGGUGAGUCCUAAUUUUGUCCAAUCUGUCAGAACACCGUCGAAUUCCUCGUAGUCACCACACCUUUGUGAUUCCUGAACCUGGAGGGGCGCAAAACCAAAAUUGAGUGGGUCAGUAAAACAAUUCUUUUCCAAAUCCAAACAUUUCUCAAAACGUUGUAACCCCUCUCCGUAAAACCUGUAUACUUUCCCAGAAAUGUAAAAUAUAAAUAUACAUAUAUAUUCUCAAAACUUCAUUUUUACUAUCUCAACAUUAUCUCUUUAUCAAUCAUGCCAUGCCAUGUCAUCUCAACAUUUCUCAUAUUAAUUAUGCCAUGCCACAUCAUCUCAACAGUAAUAAGGUAUGAAUGCAUCAACAUAAUCAUAUCAGGUGCAAGAAAGUAAUCAACCGUAGGCCCUCUAAUAGCCCUAUACGGUUGAACCUAGAGCUCAAAAUCUAUCAUUAUCACUCUACCAGAGUCACCUCUGUGACCCGUCCGGCCUUCUGCACACAAGUUACGCUCUAGUGCUUCUCAUAAAUCAUCUGUGCACAUAAUCUAAGGUCACCCACCAGUCGGAAUCUCACUAACACUCUCGCGACUGGUCUGUCGUACCCACUCCGUGUGGACUGUACGACUAGCAUCUACUUGGAUCCAAGGCGAGCGUGCGAUGCGGUGAAUACUAUAAGCACUAAACCAUGGUGCAGGAUUUGAGCUCAAUAUAUAUCAUCAUCAUCAUAACAGUAAUUAAAUACUCAUCUGUGCGUCCACCGCACCAUUUCAUACAUAUGCAUCAUAAAUCAAUUCUUACCUGUGCGUCCACCGCACCAAUUCAUACAUAUGCAUCAUAUAUUAAUUCAUGCAUGGCAUUUCAACUCACAUUUCUAUAUACUUUUCAUAUCAAUUCUAUGCAUGGUAUUUCACUUCCCGUUUUUCCACAUAACUCAUAUGCAUUUCAUUUUAAACAUAAUUUCAUGCAUUUUCAAUUUCUGGGAAAACGUUAAGUAUAUAUAUAUAUAUACGGAAAACAAAACUGCCCACUCACCUGGAGUUCGUCCAACAACUCCCUAGCACCACACAUCAAGGCGUCACGACGAUCGCCGCCUAGAAUAGUAAUCAAAUCCAACCUCAGAAUUCAUAUCGAUAGAAUAUAUAACUUAUAUAAAAUACGUCACUACGUAGUUCGAUCCGGAAGAUCUGCCACUCAGAUUUUAAAUCCAUAACUUCCAGAGGUCCACAAUAUAUCUCUAGGAUAACAUCCUAAAAUUUCAUUACCAUCCAACG